rnacentral:lncRNA from 1 species
CAUAUCAUAUGGUUUCUUCAACCAUAAGAUGAUGAUUAUGCUAUCAGGUUAAAAUGGACAUCCAAGGUAGAUUUGAAGGGAAAAAGAAGUCAUCCUCCCUACAGCCUAAGAGGGGACAGGGCAAUGUUUCUGUCGAAGUGGAGGAGAGGCUGUCUUCUUUGCUUUGCCUUGGUAAAUGGAGAUGGUGGUGUGAACUGUUGGAAUGUAUAAGUCUCAGUCUUUUCCCUUUAAAACCAGGAAAUGGAAUAAUUUUUCUCUCUCUCUCCCUUAUCAGCUGCCUAUAUAAAUCUUAAGACAAGAGGCCAACUUCUUUAAAUGAAAGUUAUUGAUCUGCCUCUUCUUGGGCAUACAUGCCUGUCUGCUCAGUUAUUGAAGAGCCUUGAAAGCAGAGGAUCUUAGGUACUGUGCUGUGAAGCAAAACAAUGGACCAGAACCCUCUCAAUGUUCAACCUCCCACUAGAUGGCACUGUUGCAGGUCAUACAAAGAGAGCAUAUCCUUAUCCUUUGUUCCAUGGUUUUGGGAAAUUGCAAAGCUCCCUUAAUGACCUCCAAAGUUCUCCUUCAGACAAAGGUCCAUCUUUUUCAUACCAGUGUUUAAUGCCAGUGUUGUUCCAUGUCUGUGGUGGAACUGGAGAUGGCUCAUGUCUUCAAAGACAACAAAGAAUUUCAAAGGAGUACCCCACAUUGUGGUAGGUAUGCAUGGACUUAUCACAAACAAGAAAUCACCAAGAACCAGAAGAAAGGAUGUCCCUGAAGAAACAUAUAACUUAAAAAUGAG